UCCCAUUCACCACUGCCCCGACACCACUCACCGGCGCCCUCCCCCACAGCCCCUCUCUCCUCCGCUCACCUUAUCCCCACCACCGGGCGAGCUCCUCUCCUCCCCCUCGCCCCAGAUCGAGCAGCAGGUCUGGAUCCAUGGCCACGGCAGCGCGAGCGCUCCCCGUCAGAUCGCUUUCGUUCCCGAGCAGAGGAGGAGGCAAUGUUGCAUGGCUAGCUCGGUGGUCGCGGCGCUGUUCCGCAGCUGGUUCGCCUUCAGCUCGCCGGGGCGGAUGAGGUGAUUCAUUAGGGUUAGUGCCGCCGCCGCCCCAUCCCGCUCCGCAUCGAUGGGUCUCGGGCAAGCCACCCCUUCAUACUCUCUCUGUCCUGUCGCCUCCCAUAGUUCUUCCUCAACCACGAUCGGGGCGGGAUGGACCUGCAUAUCCGUCAAGGUAACUAGCGGGGUGGUGCUCACGGAUCGGGGCAUUAUGAGGUAGGAUCGAUUAUGUGGAUUGUAGCUCUGCAGCGGGCGUUUUGGACGGGAGUGAUAGCCAGGUUCUAUGCUUAUAUUUUAUCUCUUUUUUUAUAAGCUGCAAGUAAUUGCUAUCAUCAUAGACAUUAAGAAAGUAAAUAUAUACUCAUGCAUCAUCUUUUAGGAGAAUUUGAAUGUUAUUUCAAACCGUGAUGUGUUUGUUGGUGCCAUAUGGAUAGUAAAUGAUGCUACUAAGUUUAACAGAUAGUUGUAGAUAUAAAUAAAAUCAGGAGGUCACCAUUAUGUUGAUUUCAGAAUAAGCAUCAUGUCAGUCUUGUAAAUAUCUUUUGUGUUCUGCAGGCUAAUCAUACGCUCUCUUUUGUGCUAUAUUUGGCAAUCUUGUACUACUAUCUUGCAGGUUGUUGGGACAUUUACUCACCCCCAAAUAUGUUUGUUGGUUGAUACACAGGCUUCGGGAAACAAGUAGAAAGCUGCUGCUUUCAUUGGGGACCUAGAUCUUUGUGAGGCUUUUUAAAGAUCUUGACACAGUAUAUGAAAAUGAUUUUCAUAACUCGACAAUUUCGGUAUUUUGGUCAAUUGACUCGGGCUCUCUAAAAGGAUUUCAUAGUGAUUGCAAAGAAGCUUCAAAGCAGGUUCCUACAAUCUAAUACUAAUGGAAUUGGCCUUCAAAAUUGCAACCAAUAUUAGAGCUGGCGAACGAUUUGCAUUUUAUGUAUUCAUACCAAUGUGGCCUGAAGGAGUCCCUACCUCAGCCUCUGUGCAAGAAAUUCUUUUCUUUCAGUGGCUGUAAUGGAUUUCAAUUGCUGUAAAUUAAUUUUUUCAGCCUGUUCAAAGUGGCAGGCAUAUUUGGGCGUGACGGGAUUCUCAUGCACUCAUCCGGCGAGAUCCUCCUGAUGAACAAGCGCGGCGUCUUCAUGAACAGCCUGCAAACGGGGGCAUGUUACUACCUGGUACUCAUAUCGAUCUAAUUAAUCUACUUCAUAUUUAGCCGGUUAGAAGAAUCAAGAUCUCUGUAUAUGUAUGCAAGGCAAUAAAAGAAGCGUGCAUUUCUUAUCAAGCUUCAAUGAGAACGAUCUUGUCGUGAUAAUCGUAUCAGUGUGCAAUGUUGUUCUUGCUUUCUUUGUUGAUAUCAGCUUACAGUUACUGGGAGAAAUAAAUUAUCAAAAUGUUCAUGUACAGUGUCAUUAUACCGACAUUGGCUACCUAGCAUAACUCUUAUCAUCUUAAACUAAGUUCUAUAAUUAGAUUAUUGAUUGCUUA